GACGAACGCUGGCGGCGUGCUUAACACAUGCAAGUCGAACGGAAAGGCCCUGCCUUUGUGGGGUGCUCGAGUGGCGAACGGGUGAGUAACACGUGAGUACCCUGCACUUGACUGUGGGAUAUCUUCAGGCAACUGGGGCUAAUACCGGCUAGGAGCUCCUGCUGCAUGGUGGGGGUUGGAAAGUUUCGGCGGUUGGGGGUGGAAUGGCGGCUUAUUAGCUUGUUGGUGGGGUAGUGGAUUACCAAGGUUAUGAAGGGUAGCCGGGCUGGGCGGGGAACCGGCCACGAUAGGACGGAGAUACGGCACAGACUCCAACGGGAGGGAGGGGGGGAGAGGAGUACACAGUGGGCUGGAGCCAGAUGCGGCAACGCCGCGUGCGGUAUGACGGCCUGCGGGUUGUGAACCGCUGUCGCCUGUGCCGAAGCGUGAGUGACGGUAAUGGGUAAAGAAGCACCGGCUAACUACGUG
rnacentral:rRNA from 1 species